rnacentral:lncRNA from 1 species
AUGACAUGGCUAAAUGGUUCUUUAGGAAGAAGAGUCAGGCGCCUCUGGAAGGGAUGGUUUGGCCUACAGAGAGAAAACAGAGAGAAUGGGCAAGGGGUCAUCGAUGGACCGGAGAUGGGAUGGUAGGGACAGAAACUGCAGGGUCCGCAGAAGGAACUGCUCACCGAAAGCCAACAAGCUUGCCCUGUGGAAUCCCAGAAAGGCCCAGGAACUUCGGGACAUCACUGAAGGCAGAGUGAAGAGAGGAAGAGAAGACAGAGAAAUGGAGGGGAGAAAACUAUUAAAAUAAGUAAUAAGAAAACUUUCCCCAGAAGUGCAGAAUCUGAAUUUCCAGUAUAAAAGGGUCCAUUGAGCGCCAAGAACAAUGAAGGAAAAAAGGUCCCACUCAGGCCUACGUAUCAUUGUGAAAUUUCAGAACUAGAGGGAUAAAGAAAAGAUCCUAAAAGCUUCCCGAGAGAUAAAAAAGAAGAUUUUUACAAAGGAUCAGCAAUCAGAAUUGCCUCAGACUGCUCAAUAAAAACAUCAGAAGCUAGAAGAAAAUAGAAUGAGGCAUCAAAAUCCUGAGGGAAAUGAUUCCCACCUAUAAUUUCAUAUUCUGCUCAAUUAUCAAUUGAGUAUUGAAGGGAAAUAAAGACAUUUUUAGACA